rnacentral:rRNA from 1 species
ACGUAAUAGAUACCCGGGUAGUCCACGCCCUAAACGAUGUCGACUGGGUGUUGGGGAAGCGAUUUCCCAGUACCGUAGCUAAACGCGUGAAAGUCGACCGCCUGGGGAGUACGGCCGCAAGGUUAAAACUCAAAGGAAUUGACGGGGACCCGCACAAGCGGUGGAUGAUGUGGAUUAAUUCGAUGCAACGCGAACAACCUUACCUACCCUUGACAUGUCCGGAAGCCCGCCGAGAGGCGGGGUGCCCGAAAGGGAACCGGAACACAGGUGCUGCAUGGCUGUCGUCAGCUCGUGUCGUGAGAUGUUGGGUUAAGUCCCGCAACGAGCGCAACCCUUGUCCCUAGUUGCUACGCAAGGGCACUCUAGGGAGACUGCCGGUGACAAACCGGAGGAAGGUGGGGAUGACGUCAAGUCCUCAUGGCCCUUAUGGGUAGGGCUUCACACGUCAUACAAUGGCCGGUACAGAGGGUUGCCAAGCCGCGAGGCGGAGCCAAUCCCCACAAAAGCCGGUCGUAGUCCGGAUUGCAGUCUGCAACUCGACUGCAUGAAGUCGGAAUCGC